AGCACAGAGGGAGGACAGGAGUGUGGAUCAACUCACCUUCAUCAUCAUCAUAAUCAUCAUCAUCAUCAUCACAGUCUGCCAGAGCAACUUCUGCUGGAGUUUUGGCAGAGAAGUGAAGCAGCUCCUGCAGGCGUGAGCUCAAGCUAAACCUGCAUGAUUAUGACCAGCGUUGGGGGUGGGAUCAUACUGAGGGAUCACUGAGAAAGAAAUUCCUUUAGAAAUGGAAACGCAAGGAAACGUCUCACAUCCCCAGAUCUUCAGAGCUCUACAGGGAGCAGGUCUCCUUAUCUCGUUUAAUGAAGCCGUCCGCGGGGGCAAGCGAGCACAGGCCUGACCUCCAGCGAUCCCUCCUCACCUCAUCAAGCUCUCACUCAUCUGGAGCAACAG